CACAAUCCUCAAUUCAUCCAUAUACCAACAAUUCAUCGUAAAUAUAUAUACAAAACCAUAUAAAUCAACAAUACAAUCCGAUCUAAACACAAUUUCAUCAACAUUAAAUCAUAGGCAUUAAACCCACUUCAUAAGCAAAUUCAAGGCUUUUAAUGAAAACAUGGGUUCUUGAAGAAGUUUCAUAUAAAAUCAUCUUAAAAUCAUAAAUACAACUUCAAUUCACCAAUAUAAUGACUUUGAAAACAUUUUACCCAUGAACCCAUACCUAGAAUAGAAAAUAUAAGUUUUGUUCUUUGAAGACUUUUGAAACCCUUUUUAAUGGACUCCUUGAAGGAAAGAUAAUCAAGGAUCAAGGGUCACCAUACCUUUGCUAUGAUCUCCCACGAAAUUUGAUGAAGAAAGCCUUGAAUCCAAGCCCU
rnacentral:lncRNA from 1 species